rnacentral:rRNA from 1 species
UGCAGUCGACGGUAACAGGUCUUCGGAUGCUGACGAGUGGCGAACGGGUGAGUAAUACAUCGAAACGUGCCCGAUCGUGGGGGAUAACGAAGCGAAAGCUUUGCUAAUACCGCAUACGAUCUACGGAUGAAAGCGGGGGACCUUCGGGCCUCGCGCGGACGGAGCGGCCGAUGGCAGAUUAGGUAGUUGGUGGGAUAAAAGCCUACCAAGCCGACGAUCUGUAGCUGGUCUGAGAGGAUGAUCAGCCACACUGGGACUGAGACACGGCCCAGACUCCUACGGGAGGCAGCAGUGGGGAAUUUUGGACAAUGGGGGAAACCCUGAUCCAGCCAUGCCGCGUGCAGGAUGAAGGCCUUCGGGUUGUAAACUGCUUUUGUACGGAACGAAAAGUCUCUUCCUAAUACGAAGGGGUGAUGACGGUACCGUAAGAAUAAGCACCGGCUAACUACGUGCCAGCAGCCGCGGUAAUACGUAGGGUGCAAGCGUUAAUCGGAAUUACUGGGCGUAAAGCGUGCGCAGGCGGUUAUGUAAGACAGAGGUGAAAUCCCCGGGCUCAACCUGGGAACUGCCUUUGUGACUGCAUAGCUGGAGUACGGCAGA